CCUCCGGGUUGCCUCCUUUGUUCCUCUUGCCCCCUUUCUUCCCCCCUUCUCCCGCGCCGCCUCGUGAGUGAAGAAGUAUUUCGGUAUGUAAAGCUCUAUCAGCAGGGAAGAAAUAAAGUCCUUCGGACUUUGGACGGUACCUGACUAAGAAGCCCCGGCUAACUACGUGCCAGCAGCCGCGGUAAUACGUAGGGGGCAAGCGUUAUCCGGAUUUACUGGGUGUAAAGGGAGCGUAGACGGCAGCGCAAGUCUGGAGUGAAAUCCCAUGGCUUAACCAUGGAACUGCUUUGGAAACUGUGCAGCUGGAGUGCAGGAGAGGUAAGCGGAAUUCCUAGUGUAGCGGUGAAAUGCGUAGAUAUUAGGAGGAACACCAGUGGCGAAGGCGGCUUACUGGACUGUAACUGACGUUGAGGCUCGAAAGCGUGGGGAGCAAACAGGAUUAGAUACCCCAGUAGUC
rnacentral:rRNA from 1 species